AUACGGAGGACGCGAGCGUUAUCCGGAUUUAUUGGGUUUAAAGGGAGCGUAGGCGGGAGCUUAAGUCAGCGGUUAAAUGGUGCGGCUCAACCGUGCCCUGCCGUUGAAACUGGGUUUCUUGAGAGUGCAAGAGGCGGAUGGAAUUCAUGGGGUAGCGGGGAAAUGCUUAGAUAUCAUGAAGAACUCCGAUUGCGAAGGCAGUCCGCUGGGGCACGUCUGACGCUGAUGCUCGAAGGUACGGGAAUCAAACAGGAUUAGAUACCCUGGUAGUCCGCACGGUAAACGAUGACUACCCGCUGUCGGCGGUAGACAGUCGGCGGCCAAGCGAAAGCGAUAAGUAAUCCACCUGGGGAGUACGCCGGCAACGGUGAAACUCAAAGGAAUUGGCGGGG
rnacentral:rRNA from 1 species